rnacentral:rRNA from 1 species
CCUACGGGAGGCAGCAGUAGGGAAUCUUGCGCAAUGGGCGAAAGCCUGACGCAGCCAUGCCGCGUGAAUGAUGAAGGUCUUAGGAUUGUAAAAUUCUUUCACCGGGGACGAUAAUGACGGUACCCGGAGAAGAAGCCCCGGCUAACUUCGUGCCAGCAGCCGCGGUAAUACGAAGGGGGCUAGCGUUGCUCGGAAUUACUGGGCGUAAAGGGAGCGUAGGCGGAUAGUUUAGUCAGAGGUGAAAGCCCAGGGCUCAACCUUGGAACUGCCUUUGAUACUGGCUAUCUUGAGUAUGGGAGAGGUGAGUGGAACUCCGAGUGUAGAGGUGAAAUUCGUAGAUAUUCGGAAGAACACCAGUGGCGAAGGCGACUCACUGGCCCAUUACUGACGCUGAGGCUCGAAAGCGUGGGGAGCAAACAGGAUUAGAUACCCGUGGUAGUCCACGCCGUAAACGAUGAGUGCUAGUUGUCGGCAUGCAUGCAUGUCGGUGACGCGA